rnacentral:antisense_RNA from 1 species
AAAGUGAGGUAAUUUUCUUGUUCGGUUUUGGAUAAUUGUUGGAAAUAAUACCGUUGUCUUACUUGUUUGACGAUUUGUUGGCGCUUUUUUCCGGUUAAAGAAAAAACAGAAUCGGUAUUAGAAGGUUUGCUAGUGUUGUGACACGCAGACAUACCAACUGUCAUAAGGCCAAUUACUG